AGGGCUUUAUCUUAAAUUAAAGAGUUUGAGUUGCAUUCAAAAUAAGUAGGUCAAAAUCCUGCAGGCCCUA
rnacentral:tRNA from 1 species